GGUCGUUUGGCGCAAUGGUAGCGCGUCCGCCUCCUAGGCAUCAAGAGGCUUGAACUCUGUUGCGGAAAGCGGAAGGUUGAGGGUUCGAGCCCCUUGAUGAUCG
rnacentral:tRNA from 1 species